ACGCGAAGAACCUUACCAACUCUUGACAUCCCAUUGACCGCUUGAGAGAUCAAGUUUUCCCUUCGGGGACAAUGGUGACAGGUGGUGCAUGGUUGUCGUCAGCUCGUGUCGUGAGAUGUUGGGUUAAGUCCCGCAACGAGCGCAACCCCUAUCCUUAGUUGCCAGCAUUAAGUUGGGCACUCUAGGGAGACUGCCGGUGACAAACCGGAGGAAGGUGGGGAUGACGUCAAAUCAUCAUGCCCCUUAUGAGUUGGGCUACACACGUGCUACAAUGGACGGUACAAAGGGCAGCGAGACCGCGAGGUGGAGCCAAUCCCAUAAAGCCGUUCCCAGUUCGGAUUGCAGGCUGCAACUCGCCUGCAUGAAGUCGGAAUCGCUAGUAAUCGCAGGUCAGCAUACUGCGGUGAAUACGUUCCCGGGUCUUGUACACACCGCCCGUCACACCACGAGAGUUUGCAACACCCGAAGCCGGUGAGUAACNAACAAGGAGC
rnacentral:rRNA from 1 species